rnacentral:lncRNA from 1 species
CUGAGCGAGCAGAGCUGAGAUGGUCUCUGCGGGGUGGAGGCCAGGCCGGCCCAGACCUGGCCACUCUCAUGGUGACUUUAGGCUACUCCCUUCUCAGUUUCUUGAUCUGUAGCUUGAGAGGCCGGUCCCAUCCUGAGCCACGGCAGGCAUGACGGAUCAAUCAUAGAAUCUUCUCCCGCCACCUCACGGGAAUUCCAGGACGCCACUGCUCGUCAAUUCUCCCUGGCAGUCGGGCGGCCCCUGUUUGCCACCUGGGUUAGAUGAGUUCCAAGACGCCCUCAUGCCUGGGCCCACUCAGGGCUAAUCUAUGCCCCCCACACAGGUCACCCAGGAGCCCACGGGCCUCAGCGUUGAAGACCCCACAACGGCUGUCUCCAGUGAAUAGGAGCAACCUCAAGCUCUCUCCAUGACGGCCGCAGAGCCUGGAGACCUGGUGCAGACCCCUCCUGCUCCCCCCAGCAGCUUCACAGCAACCAGAUGCAUGGGGUCUGCACCCUGGCAGGCCAGCCCCACACCCAUCACUGCACCCUGGCAGGCCAGCCCCACGCCCAUCGCUGCACCCUGGCAGGCCAGCCCCGCGCCCAUCGCUGCACCCUGGCAGGCCAGCCCCGCGCCCAUCGCUGCACCCUGGCAGGCCAGCCCCGCGCCCAUCGCUGCACCCUGGCAGGCCAGCCCCGCGCCCAUCGCUGCACCCUGGCAGGCCAGCCCCGCGCCCAUCGCUGCACCCUGGCAGGCCAGCCCCGCGCCCAUCCACACGCCUGGGAAACCCCAGCCACACGCCUCCACCCGCUCCCAUCUCAGCAGCACACUGUGACCCAAACACGGGCUGUGGGUUCAGAGACCUGGGUUCCGGAAGUCUAAGCUCAGCUGCUGACUGCCCUGUGACCAACGGGUCAGCCCCCACCCUGCACUUCUGUCCACACAUCGUGGCGACCUGCUGGUCACCGGCCACGCCUGGCACACAGGAUGUGCUCAGUAAAGCCUGGGCUCGUGAGUGCCACGCACAAGUUCAACAGAGGAAGCUGCAGAGCAACGGCUACGCAGGCCAGGACGGGAGGCCCGGGGAGGCCAAGGGCAUGCUGAGGCCAGGACGGGAGGCCCGGGGAGGCCAAGGGCAUGCUGAGGCCAGGAUGGGAGGCCCGGGGAGGCCAAGGGCAUGCUGAGGCCAGGACGGGAGGUCCGGGGAGGCCAAGGGCAUGCUGAGCCCAGGACGGGAGGCCCGGGGAGGCCAAGGGCAUGCUGAGCCCAGGACGGGAGGCCCGGGGAGGCCAAGGGCAUGCUGAGGCCAGGACGGGAGGCCCGGGGAGGCCAAGGGCGUGCUGAGGCCAGGACGGGAGGCCCGGGGAGGCCAAGGGCGUGCUGAGGCCAGGACGGGAGGCCCGAGGAGGCCAAGGGCAUGCUGAGGUCUAGGUGGGAGGCCCAGGGAGGCUAGGGGUGCCCGGAGGUCUGGGCGGGAGGGUGGUGGGAAUACCAAUAGCUGAGCUGCUCUGCAAGUGCUCACAGGCACCCACGGGGGGCCAGCCGAGCACAGGAGUUUGCUGCUGCCAGGAAGACACCGACGUGGCCCAGAACCAGGAAAGCUGCUGCUGCCGUGAGAUCAGGGCUGGUGGGGCCAGACAGCGGCAGGGGCCGAGGACACUCCUGGUCCUAGUGCUGGGAAGUCGGAGCCAGGCGCUUCCUCAGUCCCCCAACCUAGCCAGGCUCCCAGGCCAGCCCCUUGCCAUGGACGCCUCUGCUAGACGUGAGGACAAGAGGCACUGCUGCCAUGGGGCCCUUUCCUGGGUUCAGCCCAGCAUGGUUGAGAUGUGUCCCUGUGGUGUCAGAGAAAAGGAGGGACGUGCGGUUCAGUAACUGGCCCAGAGCGCCCAGAGCCGCACAGCCAGUGACAGAUGCUCAUGGACUACCGGCCUCCUCCCGUCCCUCAGGGGAUUGCAGGUGUAGGGAAAGGGCAUUCCCCGGGGCAGGGGAACUCGAGUGGAGGGCCGGCACUCUGGAGAACUUGAACCCAGGCCGACUCGGUUGCCCUCCCACCUGAGCCGGGAGUAAGGUUGCGCCAAGGAGCAGGCGUGACAUCAGCUCAAACAGGAGGGGAGGGAAGGAGCCCCAGCGCCGCAUCCCCCCUUGCCCAGGCCUCCCUGGGCUCCUCCUGCACAGGAUGGGGUGAGGCCAGGACUGAGAGCAGCCUAUGGGCACUGACCGGAGUCCAGGGAGCCCAGCACUCCCUCCAUGGUCCUCGCCGUCCGACUGCUGGGAUCCACUUGGGGUCAGUGCCCAGUGGGCCUGAGAGCCCCUAGGGCAGAGGACAGACCCACCCCCGCAUCAUGCCCACUCUGCCACACCCAGCUGGGGGAACCUGGACUCGCAGCUGCCCCUCCGAGCUGUGGGUUCCUGAGGAACAAGGGUCAGAGGUGACCUCUCCCCCUCACCUGUUCCUUUGGAGACUGUGAGAUAAAACUGAAUGGAUUCAGAAGCUGAACCGAGGGCAGAGGCCAAGAGGCUACAGGAUGAGUGGGGCCCCGGUGUGUGUACGUGGAGCUGGGCUGUAUGGGAUGGGUGGGGGACCUGGUGUGUGGACAUGGAGCUGGGCUGUAGGGGAUGGGUGGGGGCCCUGGUGUGUGGAUGUGGAGCCGGGAUGUGGUCAGGCUCCCCAGCUGCCCACAAGGGACAGUGCCAUUAGGCGGAUGCUGCCCUUGGGGAAUGGCUUUGGGGUGUCAAGAGGAUCUGGCUCUAGCCCUUGCUCCCCCAGGCCAGCCAGGCUGGUUCCCUCUGUGGGGCCUGGACAUCAUGGGCUGGCCCUGGAGUGGCUGCCGCCUUCCAUCCAUGAACCAGCUUCAUCUCACUGUCAUUAAAAACCCAGGUGUCGGCUGGGUGCGGUGGCUCAUGCCUGUGAUCCCAGCACUUUGGGAGGCCGAGGUGGGUGGAUCACGAGGUCACAUCGAGACCAUCCUGGCUAACACGGUGAAACCCCGUCUCUACUAAAAAUACAAAAAAAUUAGCCGGGCGUGGUGGCGGGCGCCUGCAGUCC